rnacentral:rRNA from 1 species
AACGAACGCUGGCGGCGUGCCUAACACAUGCAAGUCGAGCGGGAAAGGGGAGCAAUCCCUGAGUACAGCGGCGCACGGGUGAGUAACACGUAGGUAACCUACCCUGGAGACUGGGAUAACUUGUCGAAAGACGGGCUAAUACCGGAUAUGACCACGAGGGCUGCGGCCCUUGGGGGGAAAGAUGGCCUCUGUUUACAAGCUAUUACUCUAGGAUGGACCUGCGCACCAUUAGCUAGUUGGUGAGGUAACGGCUCACCAGGGCGAAGAUGGUUAGCUGGUCUGAGAGGAUGGCCAGCCACACUGGGACUGAGACACGGCCCAGACUCCUACGGGAGGCAGCAGUGGGGAAUAUUGCGCAAUGGGCGAAAGCCUGACGCAGCGACGCCGCGUGGGUGAUGAAGGCCUUCGGGUCGUAAAGCCCUGUCAGGGGGGACGAAACCUUGUCGACCUAAUAUGUCGAUGACUUGACGGUACCCCCGAAGGAAGCACCGGCUAACUCCGUGCCAGCCGCCGCGGUAAAAC